rnacentral:rRNA from 1 species
CCCUUAGAUGUUCUGGGCCGCACGCGUGCUACACUGAGUGGAUCAGCGGGUCAGGUUGCGCGAAAGCGUUUCCUAAUCUUUAAAUCCGCUCGUGAUGGGGAUUGACGGUUGCAAUUUUCUGUCAUGAACGAGGAAUACCUUGUAAGCGCGGGUCAUCAUCCCGCGCUGAAUACGUCCCUGCCCUUUGUACACACCGCCCGUCGCUCCUACCGAUUGAGUGGUCCGGUGAGGCUUUGGGAUCUGAGCGGAAUGAGCGUUUCGCUGUUUCUGCUCGGAAAACUCAGUCGAACCUUAUCAUUUAGAGGAAGGAGAAGUCGUAACA